AAAUAAUUCAUUUAUAUAGAACUGUGAUGCAACAGGUCUUGUGAAAAAGAAAAUAAACAUACUUUGAAGAGGAACAUUGAGAAAACAACAACAUCUUAAUUAGUUCUUAUUUUUUUAUAUUUUAUUUGGGCAUAGACUUGGAUCUUUUAUGCUCAAAUAUGAUAUAGUGACUUUGAUAUUUUGUUUCUAUUCUGAGUAUAAAAAUAAAAAUAAAAUGAAAUAAAAUAGCACAAAUGCAAUCAAAACAAUACAAUGGUAAGUUUGAGUCAAUUUCACAAAAGGUGUUCUACAAACUUCACAUAUGUUUAAUCAGCCAUUGUCUGUUGAUCUGGUACUAACAAGACUUAGAAUUAGGGUUAGGAUUUUAUUUUUAUUUAAUUUUGAUUUAUUUUCUGCUAUUUUGUGUUAUUGCUGCUGCUGCUGUGUUGUUGAUGUGUAUUGAUUAUUUCUCCAUGACUCACCAGGAUGCCUUUGGCUCCAAGGCGUUGAAGCUGGUCUCGGAUGCAUUCAUGGAUGAAGAAGAGUGGGAGCACCAUGAUUCUGGAAUUAAUUUAGCAAAUGGAAUGAAGCAAAUUCAGAAAUAAAGAGGAUAGGAUC
rnacentral:lncRNA from 1 species